ACCCAAUCACCCGUGUCUCGCCCCACUCCCACCCCAGCGGCCCAGCCGCCAAACAAACCCUAGCCCUCUUUCUCCUUCCCCUCGAUCCCCAUGAGCCGCCGUACCCCUCCCUCGAUCCCCAGUUCCCCACGAUCCUCUCCUAGCCCGCAGCCGCCGGUCUUGUCUCUCCACUCUACCAUGUCGUCGUCGAUCCCACCGCCGGCCUUCUCCUCUUGCUUCCUCCGGUCCUCUUCCAUGUCGCCGCCGAUCCAGAGCGGCGGCGGGGUCUCCGCUGUGCGGGUGGGGAUGUAGGGGAGGGGUGGGAUGCGGACGGCGGCGAGGAAGGCAAGCAACAGCGGGGAUGAGCAGGUGAGCGAUCCUAGCGUGGGGAAGGGGCAGGGUGGUGCCUCACGCACCUGCCGGCGGCCGGCGGGAGCUUGAGCUCGAGACGAUGGAGGUGCUAAGGCGGGGCAAGAGAGGACGGCUCGCCGACGAGCUCGAGUUGGAGGCGGUGAGAUCUUUUCCUUCAUGGCUUCCCACCCGCUGAGCUCGUUUGUCCUCCUCCCUCCCCCGUGCUGCCGGCCUCGUCCUUCGUCCCUCGACCGUGCUGUGACAUUGCUUCCUCAAUUGGUCGCCGCCUCGUCUCGCCUGAACACGAUGCCGUCCGGGGCAGCGCCGGCACCGAGGCACCACCUCUGCCUCCACCCCCACUGGGCAAAGAGCUCGCGGUGUUUGGGGGUUUCUGGUCCCUGAUGUCAUGUUGUAAUUGGUGCAUCCGCUGGAUGAGAAAGAGCAUAGGAUCCAGGAAAGCAACUGCAGGAGACGGAGAAGACGUCCCCAUGGCUUCUAUGAGGACCAGAAGCGUUUCUUUCAGCAGCCUGGGGUUGUUAAGAAGAGGGUCGGGAUUGCCCUGGGCAGAUGCUUAAAUUCCUGGAUGUAAACGCACACUUGCCUCCUACACAGGCCAAAAUACUAUUGGAGAUAAGGAUACUUGUUUUGCAUAUUUGCAUCUCGAAGAAGCUUGCCCGCUAUUGUAAGUCUGACAUUUUCUUGCUUGCUUGUGGAAAAACUGGUUCUCAUUCAGUUAUGCUUGUCAGUCUGAUAGAAGAUGGACACCCCUCUUUAAGUUGGUUUAUGGGCUUGCGGAGUGUGAGAAACCCUUGGUAUGCCUCCAUCCUUCGUCCCUUGCUCCGUGGCCUGGAUGUCGAGGGAGGGCGAGAGGUGGUGAUAUGCAGGGGUGAGGGAGAUGGAGGCGGUGACCUGCAGCUCCUAUUGAAGGGGCGGAGAAGAGGGGGUGCGGAGAUGAGAGGCUAUUGUUGUUUAUUCCUUCAUGCAGUAUUUCUGAGUUGGUUCACUCUGAAAAAAGGCUUUCCAUCAGUGGUCCGCAGCUGGGCCUGAAAGAAAUUCAUGACUGGAUGGCAAUGGAACACUAAAUAACCUGGCAACGGAUACCCUGUGGUCUACCAUUAUAAUUAUGUGUGCAUUUUGGAUCUAUUGGAUGUCUGAAUGUAAUGCUAAUCGACAUUUACUGAUGCAAAGAUUUUGCAGGGAUGUAGAUAUAUAUGGUGAUGUUUCACUACGAUCUAAGUGUUUCAGUUCAUAUUUAGCAGGAUCACAUUUUGACCAAUGACUCUUUGCUGCCAUGGUUGAUACCGCUCGGCGGCUGGAUCUACCAUGGAGUGGCUACCAUGGGCCAACUAGAGCUGGGUGUCCCUGUUUCCGACCUCAAGGCGGCAAAAAGUUAUGUUGUGACUUAAAGAUAUGAUUUAUGGGCCUACCUCAAUAUCUUAGGAGUUGUCCUUUCCUUGUUAACCCUGUACACUUGACAAGGCCCAUCAGUUCGAGGUAGAGAUAAUGAAAGAACAUAAGGACUGAGCAAGAGGAGGAACUUCGUCGACCCAGCCGUGAGCAAAUGAUGCUCUGACGAGUCGAUCAGGACCGUCAUGGAGAUCUGCCCGCGGGGCCUCGCCAAGGAACCAACGCUGAGGCAGUUAGACGAGGACGUCCUCUGGAACCUGCAGUUUGCAGCCCUGGUGUAGGAUGAGUUCCCGCUCUCAUCAUCGCAGAUCAGUGCACAAUCCGCAGAGUACUAACCUCUAGGAAGGCUGAGAAAAAUAUUGGCAAGCAUUACCAUUAUGAUCCUCCCUUGAUCAUCAUUGUUGAAGGAAAACGUAUUAGAGAUGGUAUUUUCAAGCUAAAUGUACCAGCAGCCGAUGAUGGACCUUGUGAUGCAUAUAGUUUGCAUAUUUCUCUUCAUCCAGUUUAUUCAUCCAUUUUUUUCUGUUUGCUCAUUUCUUCUAGCGUAUUCCUGUCAGUAUUUUUCAGUUGAAGGAUAGAUGCUCUAAUUACCAAACGAAUGUGCAGGCAAUGCCCAUUUGAUUAGUUAUAUCCAUGUAGUCUAUGUUUGAUAGCAUAGUAUUGUAAAAACCAAAGAAUUUUAAAACUACAGUAUUUGCUCCUAUAGGUACAGGAUACCACGGUAAUAAUAUACCAGAGUAUUUAGGAGUAUUGGGAAUAAUGCAAACCUGUUACACUAGAGCUUAUAUGUAAAGUAAAUUAACAACUGGCCAUUUGUUAACAGUCGCACACAUGUUUGUACCCCGUUCGCUGGCCGUUGCGAACUGAACAACUAUGCACAAGAGCAAGCCCCAGCCGCAUGCACAAACUUGAAUGUCUAUAUGCACUAAACGGCCAUACACAAAGCUAGCUUAUACAACAAGAGGAGUUGAACUAGGUUGAGUUGCUGCUUCACAUGGUCUGGAACGCUAGGCCAUGUUCUGGAUGUCAUCGCAGGCACCACGGGAGCGUCUUGGCCUUCUUUUGUGUCUCCAUCGAGAGGUAGCAGGAAAUGUGCGUCGAGAGGCACUUGAAUACGCAUGUGGAUUGUUUUCAGCAUGGUAGUCUCAAAAAGGUGGUAUUCUCAAAAUACAUAGAAAAUGCUUUGCUAUCGAAUAGGGCUAUAAAUGCAGAUUUCCUUGAAGAUAGUAUAUUUUAUAACUGUAUUGCCAACGUGCUCCCAUAGUUUUAUCACCACAAAAUAGUUCUAACUGCUCAUUUAAUUUUCAGUGGCAUGCAUGGGUGGUUGUAGUGCAGUUUUAUUAAUCUGCAUGCAUUUUCAGUGUUGAUAUACUAUCUCAAUAAAUAAUGAAGACGUAUAAUAUAUGCAAGCUACAUUCAAUUAGUUUUUGAUACUAUUCCCUUGAUAGUUUGUUACAUUUGAGGAGUUAGGGUACAAACGCCUGAAUAAACUGAGGAGCACUGUGAAACAAUUGCAAUUCGGGUAGCAAAUACACUUGAUGCGUUGUUCCCUUUUUUGAAUUGCUCAUAUGUUUACAACCACUUUGUUACUAAAAUAUCGAUUUGAAAUCUGGAAGCAUUAUUUCCGGAUGUGUUUGUCCUUUUCUUCUUACGUAUAUCUCUUGUGCUGUUAAUCUAAAUUACAACUUCGGUGCUACAUAUUGUAUAGGCAGAGAGGGAUUUAAUGGUUAACAGCUCUUUGUGCCCCGGAUUACUUUGUACUGGUUCAAGGGCUAUCUUGUGUCACUGGAUGUGCUAUUAAAGAGGAUUUUAAUUUGGUUUUCCAACCAAUGUGUCUGGGUAAGAUGAAUUGGUAAUAUUCAGCUAGCUGGAGACGGAACUACCGCUGCAAUCACUACUGGAGACGGAACUACCGCUGUCACAUGCCGCUUUAUCAAGGGUGUUGACAAAAGGGUCACCAUCGCUAGAGGCUGGAGUGGCUUCUUCCGUCAGGCACACAUUAAGAAAGGUCAAGCAUAUGCUUUCGCCUUCAAAUGCACUUUCAAGGGGCUGUGCCUGAUCGUCUACUCAAUAUAAACAAGUAGCAAGAGCCCCUUGUUAUAUAACUUAGCAUUAGUAUAGAUGCCUAACAAGACUUAUAUGUUUAUCAUCCUUUUGAAUCUUAUCUAAUCACCUAAGACCAUCAUGUGUGUUUAAGUCUCA